rnacentral:lncRNA from 1 species
AUAAUGUGGCUUAGAGGUUGCCAAAGCAAAAGAACGGCCCCCCUCUCCGCCCUGGGGGAGCCGGGAGGAUGUGCAGCCCCAGUCCUCCUGCUCGGCGGAGCCUCGCGCGCGCAGAGCCUAGCGCGAUUCGCGCCCUCAUUACUACUACAAAGCGCGGGCCAGACCAAUCCCCUUUCUAAUGCACCAUUUUCGACUGAGAACAUCAAGAGGCCAGAAACUUCCAAGUCAGCUUGCAGACGCAGACGCCUCCUGGGGUCCUGGCUUUAAGAACCAGAUGCCAACACUCCCGGACAGUUUAUGGCAUCCGGAUCCCUCAAGGGUGCUCAUCUGCAGUUGAGAGUGAUUCUGUGUGAAGAAUACAGAGACAGACGUUCCAUUUCAAAGAAAAAAGAGCAACACGAAGGCCCUCUUUAAGGAGAGAGUAAACAUUCACUUUAGGUAAAAAAUAGUCUUUUACACGCCUGUGCACGGCACACCUCUUUUGCUGUUCACCUUGAGCCCAAGAGUUUGGAAAGGCUGCCCCCAUUUCAGAGAGGAAGAAACGCAGGCACACGUGAAUGACAGACUCCUCUGUGGUGGCCUAGACUCCAGCCAACACUUCCUAGGACAGCCUGCCAUUGUGCAAAGUCACCAUGUAACAAAUGCAGACAUCUCUGAGAUCACCAUGCAGUGAGGAAGUCUAAGCUGGUGGCAUGAAGAGGCCACAUGGAAAGGGCUAAAAAAGGGGCCAGCCUCAGUCAUCCCAGCUGAGCACCUGGCUGGGAAUAAAAGAGGACUCCGUGGAUGUCCAGCCCAGUAAGAUGACCUCAGCCCCAGCCACCAACUGACCAAGCACACAAGACAUCGUGAGGCUGCCUGCUGGAGCCUGGCCAGUGGGACUGUAGAGUAACUCAUUGUCGUGCAGGAACUCCUGGGAUGGUGUUGCCCAGUGACACAAUCCCAGUGUGGCCAUUUCUGAUCCCGAGAAAGCAGUCAGGAGUGGGUGGAUGCAGUUACAGUUCAUCAAGUCCUGCUAGUUCAAGUCAUGAGUCCUGAAUUCUCCAGGAGGAGCCACUAAAGAAAUGCAGAAGCAGGCAAUCCUUGCAAUAAGGCCAGCAAACUGCCAGUGUGAAGGAUGCCCAGGUAACCUGCCCAUGCCAGAACGGCCAGGAGAUGGUGGAACCAGAAUCUAAGCCCACGCCCAUCUGACCUCAAAGUCUGUGCUCCUGAGGUUCGCACCGAGUUGCCUCCUAAGACUUGCUGAAACUGGAUCACGUCCAUUUACCCAUCUCUGAGAGAAAUGCAAGCUUUAAAAAAGGAAAUAUUUACUAUGGAUAUUUUACAAUAGUUCCAAAACAUGAAAGUUUUAAAUAAGAUAUUCUUAACCAUCCUCACCACAUCUUC